UGAGGAGGCCAGGCGGCCGCCGGCCCUCCUUCGCAGCGGCUUGCGCCGCCGCUUCGGAGGGCGGGAGGAAAGUCCGGGCUCCGCAGGGCAGGGUGCCGGGUAAUUCCCGGUGGGGGCGACCCCGAGGACAGUGCCACAGAAAACAUACCGCCCACCUUCGCUUCUCGCAUCCCAUCCGGGAUGCGCUCGAAGCUACGGAGGGUAAGGGUGAAACGGCGAGGUAAGAGCUCACCGCGCGCCGGGCAACCGUCGCGGCACGGCAAACCACACCCGGAGCAAGACCGAAUAGGAGGGCGACUCCGCGGCUCGUCAAGCGGGGGAAGGGCGGCCCGCCCGGGGCCCUCGGGUCAAGGUCGCUAAAGGCGAAGCGGCAACGCGCGCCGUAGAGAAAUGGCCGUCACUCCGACCGGGCAACCGGGCGGGGCACAGAACCCGGCUUACGGCCUCCUCGAAGU
rnacentral:RNase_P_RNA from 1 species